GAUGAAGAACGUAGCGAAAUGCGAUACUUGGUGUGAAUUGCAGAAUCCCGUGAACCAUCGAGUCUUUGAACGCAAGUUGCGCCGAAGCCAUUAGGCCGAGGGCACGCCUGCCUGGGCGUCACACGUCGUUGCCCCCCCAUCUACUCCUUCGGGAUUGCGGGGGGCGGAUGAUGGCCUCUCGUGCGCCUCGUCGCGCGGUUGGCCUAAAUGCCAAGUCCUCGGCGACGCACGCCACGACAAUCGGUGGUUGCGAAACCUCGGUUGCCUGUCGUGUGCGGUCGUCGCGCAUCGAGGGCUCGAAAAAAUUGCCGGGCUUCGGCUCGACUUUCAACGCGACCCCAGGUCAGGCGGGGUUACCCGCUGAAUUUAAGCAUAUCAAUAAGCGGAGGA
rnacentral:misc_RNA from 1 species